UAACUUACUUGGCGCGGAGGAUACCGUGAUCACGAAGGCGGUUCCUUCUGGGCAAGGCCCUUUCAUUGCACUGUGGUAGGGCUGAACCUUGCGAAUACUCCUAAUGUGGGUAUGUCGAGCGCACAAUUUUUGGUAGUCGGGACCUGCGUUCGCGCUGUCCCGGA
rnacentral:snRNA from 11 species